AUUACAGGCAUGAGCCACUGCACCUGGCUGGCUUUUUGUUGUUGUUUUAUUUUAACUUUCCAUCUCUUUUAAAGUAAACUGGUUACAUUUUGCCUUCUCUGCUCUCCUAGCUGUGCAGUAGCCCAUUUCUCUGAUGUGUAAUACCUGAGAGCAGGAGCUAUUAGACCCUCCAGAUCAGGGCAAAACGUGUGAGAUGAGUACAUGCUACUUCUUGGGUAAAGGAGGAGAGAUGGAUGCCUGAAAUAAUGAACUAUCUCUGGACAAGUUAGCAGCAUUUCCUUCUUAACCUGGUGUUCAUGUACCCAUUUUAAAGUGAGGACUAGAGGUAUUGAUGGGAAUGGGGGGAGAUGGAAGCAGGAUUCUCAGAAGAGUUUCCAGCAUAGCAGUGAUGAUGAACAGGAUUGAGAGGGAGCAGGUGCUAGGUGAAAAAACAAAAACAAAACCCAAAGAAAACAAGAAAUUGAAUUUGACAUACCUUAGUGAAGGAAGGUGGGUAUACUGGAUUGAAAAAAUAUUCCUUGAAAGUUUAUAUCUACCUGAAAUCUUAGAAUGUGACCUUACUUGGAAAUAGGGUCUUUGAAGAUAUAAUUAGUUAAGAUGAAGUCAUACCACAUUAGGGUGGCCCUUAAAUCCAAAGACUGGUGUUCUUAUAAGAGGAACAGAGGAUACACAGAAAAGCAGACCAUGUCUUCCAUGCUGGCUUAGAUGGAGGGGCCCAUCCUGCAUUUAAGGUAGCCUCAGCAUGAUGGGAAGCCAUGGGCUGAGCCAUCCCUGCAAUGUGCAGGAGGGAGAAAUCACAUCAGUUGGGAUCUCUUGAAUGUUCACAUUUUUUGCAGAAGGAAUCUGGCUAGAUUGAUCAUCAGGAAUAGAAGAGGUCUGUGUAGGGAAAAGGGUGAUAGAAGAGGUCUGUGCAGGGAGAAGGGUGAUGGGGAGUGUGCUGUGGUGGUUUUGUGAAAAAGUGGAUGGGAUGUGGGUUUGCUUUGAUGUGUGUGAAAAGAGAAGAGAAGGAAACGAAGUGUAAAAUGACCUUGUUGGUUUUUGCAAUGAAUGAUAUGUAAGAAAAUGGCCUUUUUUUUUUUUUUUUUUUUUUUUCUGGGCCACCAGGUAGCUCUGGCUAUCUGUCAGAUGGAAUCACAUCAGGCAGAGGGUUGGGGAAGAGACAUCUUGGCCUUUGGAGGAUUUCCUUAGGCACCACUUCAGCACCUUCCUUCUCCUUCUCAGUGCAGGAGGUGGUGAGGGAUAAUGGGAUGCAUACUGGGAGCCUUCCCUGGAUCCCUGCAUUGUCAGUGCCCUGUCUGAGCAAGUCUGUCCUAUUCUUGGAUCCUUGGUCUUCUCCCUUGUACAGGAGGCUUACAAAGUUUAUGUGAGCAUUGAGAAAAAAUAUUUUGUAAAUCUUAAAAUGCUGUAUAAUAUUGUAUCCUAUAAUUCUCCAAGGACUCAGAAGGAAGAUAGGUGCAGUCUUAAUCCUUCGGGGUUUGAUGGAGUCUCCCAUACUGCUUGAAAAGUAAUGCAGCUUUCAGUUUGAGAUGACGAGGUUCUAGAGAUGGAUGGUGGUGUUGGUGCACAACAAUGUGAAAAUGUGAAUGUACUGAAUGCCACUGAACUGUACACUUAAAAAGGGAUAAAAUGGUCUUUUUUAUGUGUUACAUAUUUUAUCAUGAUAGAGAAGUCACAGCUCCGUCCCUCCCCCCAAAAAGUAGUGUACAUACAGGACAAAGCUGAUACGUGAGUAAAUUUGCCAGUCCAGAUAUUACAGAGCAAUUAUUAACAUUUACAGAAACAUGUGGUGAAUACUUGUAUGUGCAAUCACUGUGAGGAAUUAGGACUGUUUACCAGGCCUCAACACAAUGUAUUAUUGUUAGUGCUUUUGGAUGACUCUAGAAAUUCUUUUGGGAGGGAAUUGUCACAAUUCUAUUGUGACAAAUUAUGUCACAAUAAUUGAAACAGUAAUGAACUAUAAACUGAACUUAAUAACAUGAUCUGAAAUCACUUCUCCCCCUCUACCCCUGCCUUCAAGGUUAUUCUCCUGCCUUAGCACUACUUUUUCUUUGUUCCCCAAUUUACUCCUUAUCCCAGUAGGUCAAGGUGAAAACAGAUUUGCAUCUAUAGUACAGAAACAUGUGAAUCUCAUGUAGUCUCCUGUAUGUUACUAAAAAUGCCUCAUUAUUAUGGACACUGGUCCUGUGCCGAGACUUUGCUCCCAGAAAGAAGCAAGAACUGUUUGCACAUCUCCCAGAUCAUUUGUUCUCCAGGCCUGUGGGCAUCCACAUCAAAGGCUAACAGGAUCACCCCCAAUUUUCUCCAUUCUCUAGCUCCAAGCUGCUUUUGAUCAGAACCCUAAGUGUGAAUACUGCUUGAGGGUCUGUGCCUUUCUGAGGAGUCCCCAUAGGCUCAGAAAGUAACUCAGAAAGGGGUUGAAAGAUAGAUGCCUUUUGGAUUGAGAAAUUGUUUUACUCGAUUACAAGAUAAAGUACUUAUGGUUUGGGGUUUAAAUACUGGGACAUGUAUUAUACCUCCUCCAAAUCAUCCCUGAAAAUGAAGCAGAAGAACAAUGAUCAAUGUAGAACUGCCUAUGGCGCCAGAUGAUUUUGAGUCACAUACAGAACCAGGCACAGCUCUCAAAUAUGAUGGCUACCUGUAUUUCUAACAGGCAAUCAGUUUCCUAAGAGGGGGCUGGGGGCAGGAAAAAUUCAGUGCCUUCAUUGUGGGCCGCUUCUUGUUGAAUUUUGCUCCACAGGUUAGAAGACAGGUCCCAGUCUUCUUAAUGAGGCAUUGAAAGUCUAGGUGGAAUAGAUGUUUGCUGGAGCCUGUGGAGAUUAUAAAACAAAGAGCUCACUGCCUUAUGUGGUCAGGAGAGGCAGGAGUGACAGCGAGUGUGAAGGUGUGGGAGUUGGAAGGAGCUUGGAACUCAACUUCUUUUGGCCUCUCAACUUGAGAUUCACAAAGAAAAAAAGCGAUGUCUCCUUGCUGAAAGGUAAGAGUUUAAAAUUUAUCUGAACUCUGAAUAUUAUAGUUUGUUUUGGCUCCAGUGGCGUAUUUCCAUAAUGUAUUUAAAUCACAAAUCCGUGCUCUGAGGCAAAGUCAAAACACCUGGUCUUAGUCCUGAGGUGACGCCCUUAGAGCUGGAAUAGUGCUUAGUGCCCUGUGCAGGGACCAUCAUCAUAUUUAUAUACAAUGGAGAAGAUUGUCUAGAACCUAGAAGGGUACUAAUUACAGUCUUAUCAUUUUUCUCCUUAGCAAAAUGGAAGCUCCUCCUUGCACAGUGCGCCCCUUCCUCACUGUAGUUUAUUCCAAGUGAGAAGAGUAAACAUGACUUCCAAAUGCCAUCUAACGAUAUAUGCAUAUCUAAAGGACACAAGGAUGACUGAAUGCAUCUUCAUGUGUAGGAAGUGAAGUGUCUGUUGACAUUAAGUACUUCUUCAUGAGAGAGAGGAGGCCCAUGAUGGAGAUGAUACCAGUACCUCCUUCUAGCACUCUAAAUUCCCAGUGUUUACUACUGCUGUCUCUGAAACUGCAGCAUCCUCACCAGGACCACACAGGGAACAAAUGCAAGACAACUGAAGUCCCUUUAGCUGUAUUCACAACACUUCAUAGAUAAGAUGAAAUUUGAAUAUGAGAAGGAUUUUUUUUUUCUUUUAAAGAGCAAUUUGUUCUCCUGGUAUCCUAGUAGGAGUGCCUGAAAGUGCACAUUGACUGGAAGGUUUCAUGUGAGCAUCAGCCCUGGGGUCCAGAAGACAGUCUUGGCAAGCCUGGAGAGUGAGGAUGUUGAACAGGCAAUGGAAGCAUCCAUGAAAGGCAGGCAGCUGCUGCAAGAGUUUCCAACAGAUAACUGGUCACUUGCACAGAGGGAAGGAACCAUGGAUUCCAUGAUAAUGACACUUGUGCCAGCUUUUGUGUUUCCAGAAGUAUUGAAAAUAUAAGGGAACCACCACGUGUAGAAUAUGUGAAGUCUAACAGAGACGAGUUCCUAAGGUAUUUGUUUUGACAAAUCACGUUGCAAGUAAUGUGAAAGCAGUUUGGAUAAAAAAUGUCCCCAUCUAAUGCCGCAUUAGGGCAUGCAUUUCUAUAGCCUAAAUCUGUUGGUGACAUAAAAAUAUAUGUUUUGUUGGACACAUAAUAGUUUGAACACAUAAUAGGUUCUAGAAUGGAUCUGCAUAAAGUAAGAAGAAAGGAUAUAAAGGUAGAAGAAUAAAUGUUACAACGGAACACUGAGCUGGGUGGCUCUUCACCAUGGACCUUGCUCAUAUUUCUCACUACAGGCUUUCUCUGAGCUAACUUCCAAGUUCUCUCUUUCCCCUUCCAAACUUACCUGUAUGUAAUCUUGCUCCCAGGCCACCUGACUGAUUUUUGAUGCCUGGAGAUUUGCUUCCACCUCGUCAUGACCAAGCCUUAGCCAAGUCACUGUUUACUCAGUUACAACAUUUGUCCCCUGCUGAGGCCUGUCAUAGAUUUCAUAGGUCACAAACAGUCCAGCUUAAAUCUAACCUUCUCUUUGGUCAUUCGGAGUAGCAAGAAGCAUUGUGUUUUGGAUUUACUGCAGAACUCACACACUUAAAUGUACAGAGUCAGUUUUUAUAGCUAUCACUGCAUCCAGAUUGGGCAGUGACCUUGGCUGAGACAUCCUUUACUUCUGUUUCAGAUCAAUUUAGCCAGCAUAUAAAAUCUCUGUGCACUGCCAGGGGAAAGUAAAGUGAAAGACUGCAUGAAGAAAUGGAGAAGAGCCAAAUAGUUGACCAUGGUUGCUGUAUAAAUCUUGGACCCAGGGCUAAAAGGUGGCAAUAUAAAUGCAGAUGGUUCUGCUGCCAUAUUUUCCUGGCACACCUUUAAGCAGCACAUUUCAAGCCUGCAGGUUUGGAAUGGCAUUUCCAAAUAUAGACUCAAAAAAUCCUCAGGUGUUUGAUUCUAGAAUAGAGCUGGAAAUUCUGUCCUGCAAAUGCCUUCUGUAGCAUGGGAGAAAACCCACUCUUCUGUGUCUCUUGCUUCAAACUCUCUAUUUUCUGGAAACUAGAGAAAGAUGUGGGCCUAUAUUGAAAGAUAUGCCUUGAACAAGAAUUAUGCACCUAUCGAAAACUUGUACAUUGAGUAAACUCUCUGUUUACAGGAAUCUAUGGAAAUAUCAAAACAUCAGUAACUAUAGAGGUCAUUAACUAAGGAGAUAACCUGAAAAAUAAAGUUCUAUUUGCUAAAAACUGUAUCUGAUUAGUUUGGACUUCUUUUUCCUAUCCCUUUCCUGUUUUAUAUUUAUAUUUUUCUUCUAAAAUUAAGUGAUCGUUCACUAUCUAAUUUGUAUUGUGGAAAAUGUCCAAUUCUAGACAUUAGGAUGGCUUUUCUUAUUUGAGUCACAUGCUAGAGGCAGCAUGGUUUUGUGGAGAGAGCUCUACCUUUGGGGUCCGGCUCUUAGCUUUGGUGUUAACCCCAGGCAUCUUUGUCCUCAUCAUGAUACCUCUCUGGGCCUCUCCUUAUAUUUGUAAAAUGAGGGGGGCUCUCUGAAGUAUCCUUCUGGCUAUAAAAUCUGUCAGCUCUUAUUGUUGAAGUUUUCUUCUGUUCAGAGUUUCUAGGUUUCUCAUAAACUGAGGAUUCAGAGGUCAGGAGGAAUGGAAACUUGUUAUUCCAUUUGUAACAUUGUUAGAAGUUUUAAAUGCAAAGACAAGUAAUUAAUUUGUCAUCAUUGCUUGAAUAUAUUAUACUUUAAAAUACUGAAUUAUAAAAUGCAAUAUUUGGAAAAAUGAAUUUGUUAUGAAAAAUAAAUGUUGCUGCUUGUCUAAAAUUUUUUAGGACCCCUCAAAUUAUUGCCUAUAGUGGCAGUUAUCAGCCCUGGCUGUGCAUUAGCAUCUCUUAGAAGCCUUUCAAAUACUGCCCUCCCACCGUCAGAAGUUUUCAUCUAAUUUGUCUGGUGUGGGGCCUGGGUACCAGUAUUUUUUAAAAGACAAGAUUAAGAAUAAAAUACAUUCAGGUGGAAGUUGAACAAUGAGAACUCAUGGACACAGGGAAUGGAAUAUCACACACUGGAACCUGUUGGGGAGCAUAGGGAGCGGGGGGAGGGAUAGCAUUAGGAUAAAUACCUAAUGUAGAUGAUGGGUUGAUGGGUGCAGCAGAUCACCAUGGCACA